rnacentral:rRNA from 1 species
UACGGAGGGUGCGAGCGUUGUUCGGAAUUACUGGGCGUAAAGGGCGCGUAGGCGGCUUUAUAAGUCAGAUGUGAAAGCCCACGGCUUAACCGUGGAAGUGCAUCUGAAACUGUGAGGCUUGAGUAUGGGAGAGGAAAGUGGAAUUCCCGGUGUAGAGGUGAAAUUCGUAGAUAUCGGGAGGAACACCUGUGGCGAAAGCGACUUUCUGGACCAAUACUGACGCUGAGGCGCGAAAGCGUGGGGAGCAAACAGG